AUGGUGUCAUUAAUCAGUCAUGGCCUCCCCCAGAAUAGAAGGGGGUCUGAUCAGCCACCGCCUGUGCGGAUUUUGAGGACUCAGACUGCCGGGAAUUUAGGAGAGCCGAUCUUGGAUAGUGAGGUGCUGCCUUCUUCCUUGCUUGAGAUUGCUCCAAUUCUUCGUGUGGCUAAUGAAGUCGAGGCUAGCAAUCCAAGAGUUGCUUAUCUCUGUCGGUUUUAUGCCUUUGAAAAAGCUCACAGACUAGAUCCAACUUCUAGUGGACGUGGUGUUCGCCAAUAUAAAACUUCACUUCUUCAACGUCUAGAAAGGGAAAAUGAAAUGACGUUGGCAGGUAGGGCAAAGAGUGAGAGUUUUUAUCACUAUUACUUCAAAAAGAAUAUUCAAGCUUUGCAGAAUGCCGCUGAUAAACAUGAUCGUGCCCAACUUACAAAAGCAUAUUAAACUUCUACGGUCCUCUUUGAGGUUUUGGAGGCUGUAAAUCAGACAGAGGCUGUUGAAGUGCCUGGAGAAGAAUUAUAUAUGCCUUAUAAUAUUCUUCCUCUUGAUCCAGAGAGUCAAAAUCAGGUUAUUAUGAGAUAUCUUAAGAUUCAAGCUACUGUUUCUGCACUUCGUAAUACCAGCGGUUUGCCAUGGCCAAUGGGCCACCAGAUGCAAGUUAAUAAAGACAUUCUAGAGUGGCCUCAGAUUCAAUUUGGUUUUCAGAAGGACAAUGUUGCAAAUCAAAGGGAGCACUUGAUUAUGUUGCUGGCAAAUGUGCAAAUACGUCAAUUCCCAAAGCCUGAUCAGCAACCCAAGUUGGAUGAUCGUGCUCUGACAGAAGUGAUGAAGAAACCGCUCAAAAACUACAGAAAGUGGUGCAAGUAUUUGGAUCGCAAAAGUAUCCUUCGGGAACUGGCACUUCAACAGGAAGUGCAGCAGAGAAAAUUACUAUACGUGGGUUUAUAUCUUCUUAUAUGGGGAGAAGCUGCAAACUUGAGAUUCAUGCCAGAAUGCCUUUGCUAUAUUUAUCAUCAUAUGGCACUUGAGUUGUGUGGGAUACUGGCUGGAAGUCCAAUGACUGGUGAGCCUGUAAAGCCAGUAUAUGAUGCUGAUGACGAGGCUUUUCUAAAGCAAGUAGUAACUCCAAUAUAUGAGAUGAUAGCGAAGGUGUUGCUUCUGCAUGUUCUUUUUGGUCCAUAA